rnacentral:rRNA from 1 species
AGGACGAACGCUGGCGGCGCGCUUAACACAUGCAAGUCGAGCGAGAACCAGGGCUUCGGCCCUGGGGAAAGCGGCGAACGGGUGAGUAACACGUGAGUAACCUGUCCUCGGCACCGGGAUAGCCCGGGGAAACCCGGAUUAAUACCGGAUGGCCUUUCGGGUCUUCGGACUCGUCAGAAAAGGGAGCUUCGGCCUCCGGCCGAGGAGGGACUCGCGGCGGAUUAGCUUGUUGGUGAGGUAACGGCUCACCAAGGCGAUGAUCCGUAGCUGGUCUGAGAGGACGAUCAGCCACACUGGGACUGAGACACGGCCCAGACUCCUACGGGAGGCAGCAGUGGGAAUCUUGCGCAAUGGGCGAAAGCCUGACGCAGCGACGCCGCGUGCGGGAAGAAGGCCUUCGGUUGUAACCGACUUCAGGAGGACGAAGCACUCGGUAAUAGCCAGAGGUGACGGUACCUCCACGAAGAAGCCCGGACAACUACGUGCCAGCAGCGC